rnacentral:rRNA from 1 species
AUGCAGUCGAGCGGAACGAGUUAUCUGAACCUUCGGGGAACGAUAACGGCGUCGAGCGGCGGACGGGUGAGUAAUGCCUAGGAAAUUGCCCUGAUGUGGGGGAUAACCAUUGGAAACGAUGGCUAAUACCGCAUGAUGCCUACGGGCCAAAGAGGGGGACCUUCGGGCCUCUCGCGUCAGGAUAUGCCUAGGUGGGAUUAGCUAGUUGGUGAGGUAAGGGCUCACCAAGGCGACGAUCCCUAGCUGGUCUGAGAGGAUGAUCAGCCACACUGGAACUGAGACACGGUCCAGACUCCUACGGGAGGCAGCAGUGGGGAAUAUUGCACAAUGGGCGCAAGCCUGAUGCAGCCAUGCCGCGUGUGUGAAGAAGGCCUUCGGGUUGUAAAGCACUUUCAGUCGUGAGGAAGGUGGUGUAGUUAAUAGCUGCAUUAUUUGACGUUAGCGACAGAAGAAGCACCGGCUAACUCCGUGCCAGCAGCCGCGGUAAUACGGAGGGUGCGAGCGUUAAUCGGAAUUACUGGGCGUAAAGCGCAUGCAGGUGGUUUGUUAAGUCAGAUGUGAAAGCCCGGGGCUCAACCUCGGAAUUGCAUUUGAAACUGGCAGACUAGAGUACUGUAGAGGGGGGUAGAAUUUCAGGUGUAGCGGUGAAAUGCGUAGAGAUCUGAAGGAAUACCGGUGGCGAAGGCGGCCCCCUGGACAGAUACUGACACUCAGAUGCGAAAGCGUGGGGAGCAAACAGGAUUAGAUACCCUGGUAGUCCACGCCGUAAACGAUGUCUACUUGGAGGUUGUGGCCUUGAGCCGUGGCUUUCGGAGCUAACGCGUUAAGUAGACCGCCUGGGGAGUACGGUCGCAAGAUUAAAACUCAAAUGAAUUGACGGGGGCCCGCACAAGCGGUGGAGCAUGUGGUUUAAUUCGAUGCAACGCGAAGAACCUUACCUACUCUUGACAUCCAGAGAACUUUCCAGAGAUGGAUUGGUGCCUUCGGGAACUCUGAAACAGGUGCUGCAUGGCUGUCGUCAGCUCGUGUUGUGAAAUGU